UUUUUUUUUUUUUAAGAGAUGGAGGGGGCUCACUAUGCUGCCUAAGCUGGCCUCGAACCCCUGGCCUCAAGUGAGCCUCCUACCUCAGCCUCCCAAAGUGCUGGGAUUACAGGUAUGAGCCACUACACCCAGCGCUCUAUUGUUUUUAUUAGAGAAGCAGUAUGUUUGGUUUUUAGCAGUUUUCAGUAAGAUGGUUCAGACAUGGUUUUCUUGGUAUUUUAAGAUGUUUGAGGUCCACAGAUCCUCUAGAGUCUGUAGCUUGACAUCUUCUGUCAGGUUUGGAAUAUCUCUUCUGAUACUGCUUCCAUCUCAUUCUUUCAGUUCCCUCUGGGAUUCUAGAUAACUGUAUAUUAGAUCUUUCUUUGCAUCUCAUAUGUCUCUCAUGCUCUUUUCUGUAUUUUAUAUAUAUAUAUAUAUUUUUUUUUGUGCUCCAUCUACAUAUUUUCUCUUGACUUUUUUCUAGUUGAAUUAAUGUUCAGUCUGCUAUUAAAAGCAUCUGGCAUAUUGUUUUAUAUAUUUUUUAGUUCUCAAUUUUCAAUUUAAUUCUUUUUUGUUUUCAUAGAUUCUAGUUCCCUGGUGAAAUUCUCAUC